GACGAACGCUGGCGGCGUGCUUAACACAUGCAAGUCGAACGGAAAGGCCCUGCUUUUGUGGGGUGCUCGAGUGGCGAACGGGUGAGUAACACGUGAGUAACCUGCCCCUUCCUUUGGGAUAACUUCAGGAAACUGGGGCUAAUACCGGAUAGGAGCUCCUGCUGCGUGGUGGGGGUUGGAAAGUUUCGGCGGUUGGGGAUGGACUCGCGGCUUAUCAGCUUGUUGGUGGGGUAGUGGCUUACCAAGGCUUUGCCGGGUAGCCGGCCUGAGAGGGUGACCGGCAACAUUGGGACUGCGAUACGGCCCAGACGCCUACGGGAGGCAGCAGUGGGGAAUAUUGCACAAUGGGCGGAAGCCGGAUGCAGCGACGCCGCGUGCGGGAUGACGGCCUUCGGGUUGUAAACCGCUUUCGCCUGUGACGAAGCGUGAGUGACGGUAAUGGGUAAAGAAGCACCGGCUAACUACGUG
rnacentral:rRNA from 1 species